ACGAACGCUGGCGGCGUGCUUAACACAUGCAAGUCGCACGGAAAGGCCCUGCUUUUGUGGGGUGCUCGAGUGGCGAACGGGUGAGUAACACGUGAGUAACCUGCCCUUGACUUUGGGAUAACUUCAGGAAACUGGGGCUAAUACCGGAUAGGAGCUCCUGAUGCAUGGUGGGGGUUGGAAAGUUUCGGCGGUUGGGGAUGGACUCGCGGCUUAUCAGCUUGUUGGUGGGGUAGUGGCUUACCAAGGCUUUGACGGGUAGCCGGCCUGAGAGGGUGACCGGCCACAUUGGGACUGAGAUACGGCCCAGACUCCUACGGGAGGCAGCAGUGGGGAAUAUUGCACAAUGGGCGGAAGCCUGAUGCAGCAACGCCGCGUGCGGGAUGACGGCCUUCGGGUUGUAAACCGCUUUCGCCUGUGACGAAGCGUGAGUGACGGUAAUGGGUAAAGAAGCACCGGCUAACUACGUG
rnacentral:rRNA from 1 species